UGGGGAAUAUUGCACAAUGGGCGCAAGCCUGAUGCAGCGACGCCGCGUGCGGGAUGGAGGCCUUCGGGUUGUAAACCGCUUUUGAUCGGGAGCAAGCCCUUCGGGGUGAGUGUACCCUUCGAAUAAGCACCGGCUAACUACGUGCCAGCAGCCGCGGUAAUACGUAGGGUGCAAGCGUUAUCCGGAAUUAUUGGGCGUAAAGGGCUCGUAGGCGGUUCGUCGCGUCCGGUGUGAAAGCCCAUCGCUUAACGGUGGGUCUGCGCCGGGUACGGGCGGGCUGGAGUGCGGUAGGGGAGACUGGAAUUCCCGGUGUAACGGUGGAAUGUGUAGAUAUCGGGAAGAACACCAAUGGCGAAGGCAGGUCUCUGGGCCGUCACUGACGCUGAGGAGCGAAAGCGUGGGGAGCGAACAGGAUUAGAUACCCUGGUAGUCCACGCCGUAAACGGUGGAUGCUGGAUGUGGGGCCCGUUCCACGGGUUCCGUGUCGGAGCUAACGCGUUAAGCAUCCCGCCUGGGGAGUACGGCCGCAAGGCUAAAACUC
rnacentral:rRNA from 1 species